ACGAACGCUGGCGGCGCGCUUAACACAUGCAAGUCGAACGGAAAGGCCUGCUUUCCCUUGUGGAUUGCGGGUACUCGAGUGGCGAACGGGUGAGUAACACGUGAGUGAUCUGCCCCCAACUUGGGUAUAAGCCUGGGAAACUGGGUCUAAUUCCCGAUAGGACUGCAGGGUGGUGCCUGUGGUGGAAAACGAUUUUCUAGUGGUUGGGGAUGAGCUCGCGGCCUAUCAGCUUGUUGGUGGGGUAAUGGCCUACCAAGGCGGCGACGGGUAGCCGGCCUGAGAGGGUGGACGGGCACAUUGGGACUGAGAUACGGCCCAGACUCCUACGGGAGGCAGCAGUGGGGAAUAUUGCACAAUGGGCGGAAGCCUGAUGCAGCGACGCCGCGGGGGGGAUGACGGCCUUCGGGUUGUAAACUCCUUUCGACCGCGAGGAAGCCACCUGGUUGGAAGGGUGGUGACGGUAGUGGUAGAAGAAGCACCGGCUAACUACGUG
rnacentral:rRNA from 1 species